GGCAGUAGUAGGUAGAAGCCCCCUCCCCAUCGCAUUUGUCCCUCUCUCUUGGUGCUAACACCCUCGGCUGAACUCAUCCUCUCUCGCGCCUCUUUCUCUCUCGCAUACGGACGUGAUUGACCAACCUUGACCGUUUGCUAUUUUAAGAGUUCAACCGAGCAACCAAAGGUCGUUAGGUAUCUAGAUAUGGGGAACUUGCUGUCUGGAGUA